ensembl:lncRNA
UUGUAAUGAUCAUGGUGUCUGUGAGUCUGGCUGUGUUGGUGUUCACUGUCAUCCUGUUCACCAUCUACAGAUGGAAAUGUAACAAGGUGCAAGGGCCGGCUUCCUCCAGCAGACAGACCUCUAGCAGACCAAACAUCCACCCAGGAAACAGUGAGGAGGGGGACCAGGACUAUGAGAAUGACCCUGCUACAGACACCAUGGUUUAUAUAGGAACAGAUGAUGCUGUCUACCAAACCCUGAACUCCAACAAUGCAAUCCAAGAUUCAACUUACCAAACCCUGAAUCCCAACACUGUAAACCAAGAUUCAACUUACCAAACCCUGAAUCCCAACACUGUAAACCAAGAUUCAACUUACCAAACCCUGAACACCAACACUGUAAACUAAGAUUCAACUUACCACAACCUGAAC